UGGAAGCUGGGAUUUUGUCAGUGUGGGCUUUCAGUCGGAUGUUUGCAUCAUCUUAUUGCCACAAACCACCAACAGAAACCCUAUUGCCAACAUGCAUUGAUAUUUG
ensembl:miRNA